UCUAUUAUGGCAGAUAAUAUGCUAUAAAUUUAAGAUUUAUAUAUAAAAUAAAAUAUUUUUAAUAGAA
rnacentral:tRNA from 1 species